CUAUGCUUUGUAACCUGGCUGGACAGUACGGCAUCUGGACUUUCCAUAACAACUUCUUGCCUUGCCACCUGAUCUCCUACCUGUUGCUACCCUACACUUUUCCUGCCUUGGUGAUGAUCUCAUUCAGCUACAGUUUUGUGUGCGCACUGAACAGGUUGCUGUGUUGGACAAGGUACAUUGUUAAGAAGGCUGUGAGUGUUUUGACCGUUCUAACACGGACUAUUUUCACCAUGCUCUACUUAACAAGACACUUGCUGGACAGAAGCAAUCACACUCUGGAAAGCAGUGCUGUGUGUGCCGCCAGCUGUCCACCACUAACUACUCCUACAGUCAAAUCCCCAAACCAGCAUCCUUUACUUUCCUCUUCAACCUUAAAAUAAAAUUUAUCUGUCAUUAUCCAGCAAUGGGUGCAAGAACACCUUCCUCCAACCACUGGGCUUGAAGUAGGUCAGGAUGAGCAACCACAUGCUUUUACGUGUUGGGUGGUAAUUACAGUGCUGCCUCACCUGAGUUACCUAAUACAACUAGGAAAGGCCACAGCACUGUCUAUUAUUCACUAUUAUUCACUAGCAUUCCCAAGGGCUUAUAUCAUUUCCCUAAUGCUUAUUAUGCUUAUUUUGCUUUUUCUUCCUUUCUAUAAGAGUGGCCUAUGUUUUAAUACCCAGUAUAGUGUGAUGAUAAAUCUCUGUAAAUCUCCUUAAAGUCAUUGUUUGUCUAGUUAUCAUCCAAUUAGGAAGUUGGUGAUUUUUAUAAAGUGUUUUCAGAUAUACCUUAGAAACCUA
rnacentral:lncRNA from 1 species